UUCAAAGAAAAUCCGAGUGUAACUGUUUGAAUGUGUCCUCUCCGAAAUUCAGGUGUUGCCAAUGUGACACUAUCAAGAGGUGGGGCUUUAAGAGGUAAUUAAGCCAUGAGGACUCCUCCCUCAUGAAUAGGAUUUGGUUCCCAUAUAAAGGGCCUUGACAGAGGGAGUUCAUCCCUUUUAUCCUUCCGCCUUUUGCCAUGUGAGGACACAGCACUCCUCCCCUCUGGAGAAUCCAACAUUAAGGUGCUGUCUUGCAAGCAGGAUGCAUCCUUCGCUAGGCAAGCUGAAACUGCUGGUCUCUUGAUCUUGGAUUUCACAGCCUCCAGAAUUAUGAGAAAGUAAAUUUCUCUUCUAUAAAAUACCCACUCUCAGUAAUUCUGUUAUAGCAGCACAAACAGACUUUAAACAGCUUUAAAGUGUGAUUAGAGUCAACAACCCUAACUAGGGUCAGUAAAUGGCAUACUCUGUUAUCUCUAUUGCAAAGUUACUGCCUAACUCCAGGUGCACCACAUUUUAGCACAUUCCCACUUUGGCAAUGUAGUGGUGGUGGUGGUGGUGGUAAAGGUGUCCAGACAGAGGGGACAGUAAGAGGAAAAAGUCCUAAAAUGACUGGUAUGCUUAACACAGGUUUCUUUAACUCCCUACAACCUGUAGCAGGUACAAAUAGGUUCACAUUAGCAUUAACUCCCUCAUUUAAAUGGCUCAUCUUAGUUCUUUGCCUAUGCUUUUCAUUUAUUUUCAGAUGUCUCUAGAGAUGUCUCACACACAUGCAAUAACGGUCUUCUGUUCCUCUGUUCCACCUUACUAGCUGGUGUCUAUCACCCACAAGCCACUUAAGGAAAAUGCUUUUCCUCUGCUGUGACUGCUGUUGUCCUUCAUGAAAUACUGCCCAGCCCAGGAAGCAAGCUUCAGACAUUCCCAAAGUCACAAUACACUCGAGGUGCCAAAUGACAAUGUGUUCCGUAAAUCAAACGACGUGAUGGAGCCUGGAGCCUGGGAAGUUCAAGAUCAAGGCGCCAGCAGAUUAGAUGUCUGCUCCUGAUUCAUCACCAAAAACCUAUGGAUCCAAGAAAAAAUUCCAGUUAGUGGAUUGUCAGUGCCGAACCCUGGCAAACCAGGCACAGAUGCUCAGGGGCUUUGCAUCAUUGAAGUUCCAGCAAAGAUUUCGGAGGAGGAGAGUCUGAAAGUGAGGAGUGUGGAUUUCUCAUCACUACCAUCCCUCCCUCUCACUCCCUCACCUCCCUACACAUCUCUCUGGUGGUCUCCUUUUGCAUUUUCUCCCCACUGGUUAACAGGCUACUUUCUAAGUGUCUUUAAGUGGCUUUUGUAAAUGUGAAUUGCAUUUUGCAGCUGGGCUAGAAGAAAGGUGUUGAGAGUGGGAACCACGUGUUUCUGGUAUUCCCCUUUGUGCCCUGCCUGGGCCAGUACUCCCAGCCUUGUGGCCAUGUUGACAGACACUUGCAGUAGUGGCACCGAGCCCCAGCCCUGUGGGGUGAGGAAGAGCUGUCAGCACUCCUAAGCUCACAGCCUCUGGGGGACCUCCCUGCUUUGCCUGCACCAUGGCAGCCUUUCUGGACUAUCUAUCCUUUGAAUGGAGCCUUCUCUAACAUCACCAAGCUUGGUCAACCAGAGAGAGCCUCAGGAAACCAUACACCCAUCAAUUAAUAUGAUUCAGGCAUGUUCUAAGCUGAAGUGCUAGGGUGGAGGCAGGGCUUACUCCAAAAGAACACAAUCUCUGCUCCAAGUGUUUGCAUUCUAAAACCAACACUGACUCACGAAUAGAGCACCGAGAACCUAAAAAUUCGGACAAUACAAAACUUAUAGUGUGAGCAGUUCCAUCACUAAUGCCAAUUGUCUCAUUCACCAAGUGUUGUACUUUUUGAAUACCUACUGUAUGCCCAAAAGAUAACAGAUUCUCCCUCCAGCAGGGGCCCUGAGUGAUGCAGUGUGCACUGGGCAUGUCUUUAAAAUUUUCUGGUCUCUUGCCACAUGGUGAAGCCUCUGGUCUUAGGGUGGCUGAAUGCAGAGGGUGGCUUGGGAUGGUGUGAAGGAGUAACUCCCAAGUCAGCAAAGACACGGACAUGGAAACUCCACGGCCACCAUGUGUCUGUCCCAUUGCCACAGAGGCUGUGAUGGCUUCAGGGGUCUAGAGGGUCAGGCGGAUGGAAAGAGCCCCCAAAGCACAGCAGUUGGAGAGGCCAGGCUGUGGAUGGAUUCCACAGGGUACAGAAAAAGGGAGGCUGAGAGCCACCCAGCUGGGAGUUCACCUGAGUCAGCCCUUCAAGUGAAGUAGAUGCCAUACCUGGACUUACCCACAAGGGUACGGAAAGGACUGCCUCCAGCCUUCCCACAUUCACCCCAUCUCAAAGAUUUCCCGUAGCGUGGUCCGUAUGGAGAUGGGAACCUGAAAGACCCUCAGGCAGCCUUCACGAAGGACCUAUUUAGUCUUCAGAGGUAUGCAGUCAACCCCACUCAGAACCCAUACAAGUCUACUGGAGUCCUGGGAGUUCUCAAGACCUAACUAUAACACUACUGUGUCCACAGCUAGGUUAGGAAACCAGGGAGACAGGAUGUAAAUGAAUAGAAAGGAGAUUGUCUGGACAAUGAGUGUGCUUGUGAAGUAGUGAGCUUCCCUGUCUCAAGAUUGUCCAGCAGAUUGGAUGGCGAAGGAGAAUCAUGACUCGACUGAACUGCUGGAUUCCUACCUACUCUACUGUUUACAGAUUUAUUUACUUCAUGGGUUAAAAAUGGCCUCAUUUCCUUUCUGGCUGGUAAAGCGAGGCAAAAAGAUGUGCAAGAAGGACCUGCUUGGGAUGUGGAGGGGUUUCGUGCCUUUUCAUUUAAUUCUCAGCCCAUUGGCUGUCUCCACUGCUGGAUCUCCAUCUCUGACUCACCUACGCAGACCUCAUUUGGUUCCAGGAACACGAGAGAUUCCCUCUCUCACAUUGCUUGGCUUCAGCUGAAUCAGGAGCCCUUGUCUCCUAGAAUUUUAAGUGUCCUUUUGAAAUCUGGAGGGUUGUGCUGAAGUCAGAGCAACCUGGGAUAAUCUGAGUCCUGCCACUUUCUGGUCGAGUGAAUUUGGGCUAGUUCCCGCAUUCCUUUCUGGGUGACUAUUCCUUCAUGAGCUCCCUUCUUUUCUUUCGGAGUGCUGCCACCACUUCCCCCCGCACACUCAUAGGGUUGGUUCUGUGAAGAGAGUCACUCCUCUCCAGCACAGGAAGAUGGGUCUCCACAGGACCCACUGGGCACCUAGCCCAGCAACACACAAGCUCUUGGCACUUGCAAGCUGAGCAGAGAAAGUCAAGAGCUGCUGGGAGCCGGUGCCAGCUCUGCCAGCUGUUUCCCUGGGAAGGCAGAGUCAAGUUCUGCUGUGUUAAUGUGGCUUAUCCCCUAAUAAUGCCCCAGAGGCUGGCAAACAGCUUGUAAAUAGUAAGAAGAACACAUUCAACUCCACGUGGAAAGUGAUUCAAUUACUAUCCCCUAUUACUCCGGCUGUUCCUAAAAGGCUGAAAUCAACCACUUCCUGCUGCAGAUUCAUCUGCCCAGACAUCCCACUGUCUCCAGGCUUUCUUGGCACAAUUCCAAAUUAGGUGAGUAAAAUUCGUGUUUUGUCUUCCAUCUGUAAGGAGCCAGGUUCUAUGUGGAUGACAGUCAAGGGGAGAUCCAGUUCUCCAUCCACUUCUUCCCCAGACAGGUGAGAAAUCACUCAGUAUGCACACAGCACUGCAGUCACCCUGUGCAUAAUGAAUAUUUAUGUCACGAGCCCUGGCGUGACUCGUUUCCAUCUGCCUCCAGCAGAUAGGGUGUAUUAGUGGAGAGAGGCUUUGACAACAGGGCUUUGUUCACUAACGUGGAAUCCCCUUCCAGGAUUCAUACGCAGAGUGCAUCCUUUCACACACACAACCAUCACAGUCUCCUCCCUCUUCUCUUCCUCUCUCUUUCUUUCUGGAAAAAGUAUUUCUUAAUGGAGACCUGGUACUCUAGGAAAGAGCCAACCAGUGCUGAGCUAUCUAAUAUUCAUCAGAUAGGAGAAUUCUAGAAGGUAAAGCUCCCUGUAACCCUUGCCCCUCUUCUCUGUGCUCACCCUCCACGCUCAGAAGAAAAAUUUGGUUAGACAUAAAUUCUCCUUGGUCAUUGAGCUAAAAGACAAGAUGGAAAGAGAGAAUCAUCAAGUCAUUUAUGUGACAAAUAUUGCUGCGUAUAUACUAGGUUCUGCCUGUGACUAUGCCAGAUGGACAGGCUACCUCCCCUUACAAAGUUUAUGGUCUCUUAGAGAAGACCAUUAAACAAAUAAAAACAAGGUGCUUGGCCGGGCGCGGUG